rnacentral:misc_RNA from 1 species
AACUGAUAAUUAUUAACACAACCAAAACUCCAGCGUUUACAUAAGCUGAUGUAAACUCAAAAAAGACAGUAACAUUGUCAGUUUGUCAGUCACGGAACUCGAGACAUAUACGAUUUUAGGAGGAUAGAGAUCAAGUACAGGUAUUUUCCCCCGCCCAACGCAAUAAUCUACAUUGCCUUAAAAGUGACACAAAAACCAGAACGUGCGUCAUUAUCAAAGUUCCACCUUUCUACCCAUUUCUUUAAUUAUGCUGCAAUUACGCAUCCCUUAAAUCUUUUAUCAUAUGUAUACAUUACAUAAAACCAUGUAAAACUUGCAGCACAUUGACUUUUUAAUACACAUGAGAAAGAGAACCCCAUAACUGAACUUCUCAUCACAGUAUUAUCUGAUUUUCAAAAUCAAACAGCCCUAUAUUUACCCAGUUGAGGCAGACUCACAAUCUUGCUUUGACCUACAUCCCUCCUUUAUUCCCAUUCAGCUUGCUUGAUAAUCGCCUCUUGUAUCGUUUAAGCACAGAAGCCAAAUUUUCUUUUCCCUUUGGGAAAGCCACAUCACCGGCAGCAGUGCCUGAUCGACCCUUUCGGCAAGAUAUGGCAAUUUCUACAUCCUUGAUUAAGUCAAAAAGCGUUGCUGCAGUAGUGCAUUUCCCCCUCCCUGGUUUUGCAGCAGGAGGCAACAUUCCAUUCACCACAGGAGGGCUUGACCUACGCUGAUAUGCUGCAGAGAGUUGAAGGCAGAAGCAUGGAGACAUUGGACUACGGGGCUUUGAAAAUGCCAGAUCUAUGAUACCCUGGAGACGAUUAAGCACGUAAGUGUAUUUUCCCCAUAACUCUGGCCGGCUUUCCAUGAGUGACAAAUCAAGAAUCCGGUGAAUGCACCAAACCCCAAAGCUUGUUAUCAAAUCUGCUCUCCAAACACAGCCCUCCCCGCAAUUAGGAACUGAGGAAACCAGAAUGUUGGCUAUACCAGCCUCAUCAUUCUUCAAUACAGAACUUGGCUUCCUGUCAGAAUAGGAAUACUGAGACUCACCCAUGUGAACCAUGCGGUUUAUCUCUCUUGUUUCAACUUCAUACAAACAUCUCUCCCUCUCAGCCACACGAUCAAUUAGAUCUUCAUCAGUUCCAUCAUUUUGCCCAAACAGCCAAUCAGACCCUUCCAAUUUCAAAAGCCUAACAAUACAACAUCUGAAUGAUUUAAGAAGCUGGGCCUCUGAAUCCACAAGAGAGAAAGUUUCUUGAGUACUUGAACUUGACCUAUUUCCUAUUCCACUCCCAACAACACGACUUUUAUCCACAGGGCCAAACUGCUCAUAUGGCUGUUUGGACCAGAUGGAUCCAUGGUCUGAACUCAUAGAAUAGGAAAAAGCAUCUCCAUAUCCUUUUGAUACAUUAUCAAAAGCCAUAGAACCUCGCACUCCUGAUCCACUAUUUGAAUAGAAGGAAGGUUCAUAACUUGUUAUCCCAACAGUUGCUCCAAAUCCAACUGUAUUGUCCCACUGAGUACUCUUUUCAGACAUAUAUAUAUCCCUAUAAGGACCAGAAGAAAGCCCUGAAAUGUCAGGCAAACUAUGAUACUUCUUCGUAUUGGCUGACAUCCCUGUGUUAUCAGCAGAUCCAGAAGAGUAAACAUCAUAAUAUGGUAUUUCAGACUGCAGUGGGCUAUUUCCAGAUGCAGCAAAGUUCUGAUACCUCGAGGCUUGUGAAGAACUUAAUCCAUUUUGCAAUUUUUGCCCCAAGGCAACUGCAAGUGGGCCCCUAUAGUUUCCAGGGCCCAAAGAUGGGGAUAUUGGAGCUGGGGACUCCAUCUGGCCAUUCACACAAUUGGAACUUCUAUCCUUGGCAAUUCUGUUGACUAUAGAUGCAAUCUGAUAACCAUGCACUGUAGCUGGCUGAUUAUCCCAGCCAUCGGAAGAAGGGAGAGUGCGCACACUAGAAUACCGCCUCUCAGAAGAGUCAACAACAUUGCGGCUGGAACCUUGCACGUAUGCAUCCAGCAAUUGCAUGCGGCCGGACCACAAUGAGGAUGAUCCCCUCUGAACCCCAUAUGAUGAGUCCAUAUUGCUUUGCACCCUCAGCUGCUGGGGGGAAUCACAUAAUCUCGUAUUGAUCAUAGAAUCAGUUCCUCUGCCACCUACAGGUGGGUAAUAUCCACUAAAUUCCUUUCCAGCAUUAUCCACUUUCAAUGAGGCAGAUGCAAGCUUUGAAUCAGCCAGUAACACAUCCAGUUUCUUAUUCUUCGCUUCUGGAGUUGCUUGCCCAUGAAAAUCAUACAACUGUCCCCAAAAUUCAUCAAGAACUGCAGCUAAUUGACGCCUUGCAGCUCGCCCCAACCCAGCUAAUCUCGAAAGACUUCCAGCACCAUUCCCACUUUCAUCACUUUUUCCGCUUAGGCUCCUAAAUGAUGGUGGACCAUCAGAUGUCAGAGAUGAAGUGCUUCCAGGAACCACUUUGGAUGAUUCUUCAGGCUCCCAAGUGUCUCCCUCAUCAUCCUCCUUUUCAGCCUGCAAAUCUCCCUCUAUCCUCAAAGUCUUUUCAAUUGGUUCCAUUGACUCAACCUUAACCAUUGCAGUGUCUGGCAGGUCACCAUCAACAACUUCAUCAACAGAAGUUGACACUGAUACUGUGUCUAUUGUGGAAGUUGAUUCCUCUUGAUAGGUUAUUGGCGGGCUAUGAAACUUAACAUCAGAAUGACUUUCAUUAUUAGUUUUCAAAUGCAGUUCCUGAUCAGAUUCCAUGAUCGUCUCAGGCAAAUCAGGUUCAGCAUUUGGACCACUUCUAUCUGAAUAAAUCUUCCCUGGUUCUGGCAAUUCUUCCUCAUUCUGAAUGGGUUCCACUCCAUCAUGUAGAUUUUCAGGUAAAAAAAUUUCCUCCCUCCACGUAGAUGGUUCAGGUGAAUUGGGUACUUCCCAGUUCAACACCUGAGCUUCGAUGUGAGUUGCAGAUUUCAAUGGUGUUGCAGCUAACCAAAGCAUCAAACAAAAUGACGAACAAGCAGUGAUGAGAAGUGCAAUGUAAGCAACAGAUGCACCACUACCUAUGUUCCACCUCAAAUUACCAACCCAAUCACUGUCACCAAAAAUCAUUUCUACCACAAAUAUAAUCUUUAAGCCUAACAAACCCAUGAAAGUAAUCAAUGCUAAAAACUCCAAAAGCUGAGAAAUUUUGUAGGCACCCAUUAUUGGCCUUGAUGAUGCCACCCGGAAAAGUGGAAUCACAGAAGAUGGAAGCAACAGUGCAAUCAUAACCUGUGCAAAAAUAAGCAACUGGUAUAUUCCUUCCACUCCUGAAGUCCAUACACAAUAAAGAGCUGGAACAAUAGCGAUAACUCUGAUUGUAGCAUGUUGAAGCCAAUUAGGUAUAUCUAGUCUGAGGAAAUCAUGUAAGACUACUUGCCCACCAACAUUCCAGGUUAAUGCUGUGAUUUGAUUUGUAAGAUACAAAAUGGUUAAAAAGGCAAGGGGUGCCAUUGGACUUCUGAACACCUGUUCCAUUAGUGACAUUGCAUCAGGAAAAGUAAGCAAAACAAGGCCAGUACUGUUGAACACACUUGCAGCUGAGUUCAUAAGGACAUAAUUCACAAAAAAAAUGCCACUAAAGAUGCAUAAGAUGGCAACAAAAUGGUGAUGACACAAGGCAUCCUUAGAAAUAUUCUGACGACCCUGAUGCUGCAGCACAAAAGAUGAAUGGAGAUAAAAAUUAUGAGGCAUAAUAUUCGCUCCAAGAAGACUCAUCAGGGCAAAUGCACUUUCCUCACUUAACUUUAUCAGCAUCCCAUUCAUGGAAAGUGGGAUUUCUGUUUGACUGGCAAGCACUCCAAAAAAAUAAAAAAGCAAUAUAAAGCCUGCCAUGCAUGUGCAUAGGAAAUUUGCCCUGCAUCUCUCCUGGAACACAGAACAAUAACUAAACUGUAGGUGAUAUUUCUAAGAUACAAUAACAGACAAAAUUGAGUUACUGGACUUACCAGGAGGGUGGCAAAAAGUGGAAACAAAACAGCAUCAACAGCAGUUAAAAAAACACCGGUAGACAAGUCCACCCCAAAGAGAAGAUUAAGACCAUGUGCAAUGCCAAGGAUCUAGUGAAAUCAAUACAUUCAUAUGUUAACUAAAACAAGGGAUUAAAGUAUUAUCACCACAUUAGAUAUCUUAGGUCAUUAUCUUAGAAAAAAGCAACCAGAUGUAUAUGUUUAAACAAGAAUGAGGAAAGCCACCGUAGUUAGGUCCAAUGCAAUCACAGAAAGUGCUGUUUGAACUCCAAGAAACAUGCACGUGAACUUGUCGUACUCAUCAUGGCAAAUCUGGGCAAGAUCUCUUCCAGUAACCACACCAAUUCGAGCUGAGAGGUAUUGGCACAAAAUAGCAGUAAAAUUGAAAAUGAGCAUAGGCAGGACUAAAUCAUAUCCAAAACGAGCACCUCCUUCAACAGUUGCUGCCCACUUUCCAGGGUCAACAUAUCCUAUUGCAAUUAGAAGUCCAGGUCCAACAGCAGGAAGCAGUCGAUGAAGAAUACCCGAUAGAUUGUUAACAUUCACAAACUUAGUCUCCAUGUUACUGAUUGGUACUACAAGUAAAAUGUAAGUAACAGGGCAAGAUGACACUUAAAUAGCACUCCAGCCAAAAGAACAACACCCCCAAUGAAUGUCAAGCCAAAUAAAUUACAUUGCUACUUGCUGCUUAAAUCUGCAUAUCUGAGAGUUUGUUCCACCUAUCACUGAAUAUUCAAUGAAACACUAGCGAGUCACUCAACAAAACAUGCUUUGAAUCAGCAAAGCCAAAGUCAAAUCCAUUUUCUUUAGAGCACAUUAAUAAGCAGGAACAGUGUAUCAAACAACGGCAUAGAUAUUGCUGGACUUGCAGCCCUGGGAAAUGCAAUUGAACUGAUCAAAUCAGUGAAAUCUCCCCAUGUCAGAAUUAAUAUAAAGGCCAGCUAGCAGCAAGUUCCAACAUUAGCUGUGAUCAUCAGAUACCAAUCGAAUCCUUGCAUUUAAGUUAAGUUGCAUGCUAUCAUAAAUUGAUUGCGACGCCCUCCUGCUAGAUACCCUACUCAUCUCCCAACCAUGAGUAGCUGUUUAGGCCAAUUCAUGAGAAACAAAAUUAUUUGAAUUCUGUCUCCUUUGAUGUCCACUCCUGCUGUGCUCUCUCUGUAUAUCUCUCUCUCUCUCACUGUAUCUAUCAAUCUAUAUGGAAGUCUCGCAGUCCUCUCUGCAAUCUCUAUCCAGUAGAGAAGCUAAGUAGAUCCCAAAGAGGCCUUUAGGACAGGCCACGCAGUUAUUAAUAAGAAAGUGUUUCCUCUCUUUUCAAUUUUCUAGAGAGAAAAGCUCAGUUUUCAGGGAAAGUUG